rnacentral:ncRNA from 1 species
GUUCGGGAGCAUCCGGUGGGACGGAUGCAGGAAUGGAACCUGAAACGACCUUCAUUCGUGAGCGGCGCAUGUCCGGAGCCCAACGGACCGUG